CAAGGGCAGUUUAACUGCACUGAGGAGCACUGUGAGGAGGUGAACCAGUGUCCAGGCUCUCUGGUCUACUCUCCACGCUCCUGCCUCCUCACCUGCUCCAGCCUGGACCCUCCUGGCCAACAGUCGGAGUCCAGUGUUCCACUGCCGAGCUGCAGAGAGCCCCUGUCUGGCUGUCCCCAAGGAACUGUGCAACUAGCUACAUUUUGACUUGUCAUAGCAGAGUGUCCUUACUCUGAGUUUUUUUGUCACGCCGGUCUCAUCUCUGCUCCUCCAUAACAUCUCUGAGGGAGUGGAACUUCUAUCAAACUUGUCUGUAGACAUACUGGUCCACGACUGCAGCACCUGAUGACCUUUGCCCCUGGUUGCCAUGGUCACCAUGUUCCCAGAGCUGUGGCGCAGGUUCUGUGUCACCGCGGUGGGUGUGUGUGUGUGUGAGGAGGGAGGAGAUGCAGCGUGUCCCACUGAGAUUGAGGCUGAGAGGAACAGAGAGGAGACCCAGCUGUGUUAUAAACAGCCAUGUCCAGGUACAGACAAAGCUCAACAAUGCUACUCUUGGUUCUGGUCAGCUUGGUAAACUGAGUCAAAUAGCAGGAGGCCCUCUGUGUGCUGUACAAUGAAAUCAUUUUUCAUUGUAAUUUCAUUCUGUGGUCCUCUUUGUGGUGGCUCUGUCUGAUGAUGUUAUGUGUGUUAUGAGACACCAUGGUAAUCAGCAGUGUUUUUCCACAGAUCACAAAGCAAUUUGUGGCAGGGGGGUUGUCGCUGGGACAUAACAAUCAAGUAUCAAAAACUGAGGACUCGCUGUUGGAUGCUGUACUCCUUUCCUACUUUAAUGCCUAACUAAUCUAUCUCUUUCUCUCCCUGACCCUGUCUUUCAC